GGGGGAAUUUUGGACAAUGGGCGCAAGCCUGAUCCAGCCAUGCCGCGUGCAGGAUGAAGGCCUUCGGGUUGUAAACUGCUUUUGUACGGAACGAAAAAGCUCUCUCUAAUACAGGGGGUGAAUGACGGUACCGUAAGAAUAAGCACCGGCUAACUACGUGCCAGCAGCCGCGGUAAUACGUAGGGUGCAAGCGUUAAUCGGAAUUACUGGGCGUAAAGCGUGCGCAGGCGGUUAUGUAAGACAGAGGUGAAAUCCCCGGGCUCAACCUGGGAACUGCCUUUGUGACUGCAUAGCUGGAGUGCGGCAGAGGGGGAUGGAAUUCCGCGUGUAGCAGUGAAAUGCGUAGAUAUGCGGAGGAACACCGAUGGCGAAGGCAAUCCCCUGGGCCUGCACUGACGCU
rnacentral:rRNA from 1 species